rnacentral:lncRNA from 1 species
UAUUAGACAAAGAAAAUGCAAAGAAGUAACGAAAAUAUAAAUGUUAAAGUAACGUCAAUUUAAAUGUUAAAGUAACGUCAAUUUAUAACGUUGAUGAAUAGUCUCUUUGAAUGGUCUUCAAAAUAAGUUUUAUAGCUUUGCAACUUUUGGCUAUUGCUGCAAAUGUGGUUGGAUAUUUUAUACUCGUUAAUCAAAAUACUCAAACUUCAAAUGAUGAUAUUCCUAAACUUAAAGAAUGCAAUUUGAUGUCAAAAUAUGCAGUGCAGGUUAUUUAUGAUGAGUUUGUGGUUACAUUUCAACUAAAGCGCGAGGAUAAUGAUAAUAUUUUGUACUUAUCUAAUCAAGUUAAUGUUUUUGCAACACUCACCCUAACAAAAAAAGGUAGCAAAUGGAAUUUUGAAAUUGCAUCCUACAAUAGUACCAGCUAUACUUUAUCAGAAAAAGAAUCUUAUUUAAUCAAUAUAUCCUCCAGGUUUAUUUCUAACAGAUAUUUAAUUAAUAUAGUGGUAGAUACAACAAAUUUCUUCAAUUUAACUUAUGAUUUCCCACAACAAAACUUUAAUAUAAGUGCAAAGACUGUUUCUAACAUUAUGGAUUUACAAAUUGAAAGUAAAACACAAGAUGUUACAAAUUCAUGGAAUUAUUGGAGAGAUUGCAGUACUUUUUGUUCAUAUUUAUGCAAUGGUGGUAGUAUUGUUAAUAAAUUACCUUGUUCUAGUACCAGUUCUUUUGGAGAUUUAGUGAUUAAAGCCGACAACAUCUUAUUACAAUAUAAUUUGACUUCAAUAUUGAUUAAUGUUAUCUAUGAAGAAUUUGUUAUAGCAUUUGAUGUGUACAAAACUGAUGUACAUCAAAAAAAUAUUUUAUGCUUUUUUAUCGAGAAUAGUAAUGGUAUUGGUAAUGAAUUUAUACAAGUUAAUUAUACGGCUAGCAGUAAAUUAAAAAUUGCUUUUUUUAACUUAACAUUAACAAAUUAUGAUAUGGAAUUAAAUUCAUGGAGUACAAUUAAAAUUUCGCAGCAGUAUAUCAACAGCUCGUAUAUGUAUUCAGUUGUUGUUAAUGGAAUAGUUGCAUUCUCUGAUAUUAAUAUGCUGCCAAAUAUUUUUUCAAAUAUCAGUGUAUAUAAUUCUGAUAAAACUGAUUCACCUGAACAAAUGAAGAAUCUGUAUAUUAUCAGUAAAACACAAGUGUUUUGGUCUCAAUGGGGAUAUUGGUCAAACUGCAAUCCAUCAGGAUUUUCAACUAGAACUCGUGAUUGUAAAUCUAAUAGAUGGUUAACUUGUUCAGGAAACAGUACUGAGUCAAAAACCUGCAACACAUUUUCUGCAAGUUCUACAAUACAUUCUACAACUACACAAUUUUUUCAACAUCCAACACUGACACCAUCUACAGAUUUAUUGAGUCUAAACAUCUUUUAUGAAGCAUCAACACCAUUAACUCCAAAUUUGAAAAAUAUAGUAUCUACUGAAAGAAAGUUAUUUGAAUCUGCAUUAAUAAGUUCUUCGGUUGCACUGGUUUUUCAAUCUUUAUCACUGGAACCAUCUUCAACACUGGCACCAUCUAUAAGUUUAUUGACUUUGAAUACCGUUUACGAACCACUAACAACAAUAACUCCAAGUCCAAAAAUUAUUGAAUGGUCAAUGUGGAGUGAAUGCUCUACAACUUGUGGAAAAGGUAGCAGAAUUCGAAAUUCUCUAAAUAUUGCAUCGAAUCCUGUAAUUGAAGAAUGCAAUUCGAGUUGUCCAGAAGAUGGAAGUUGGGGAAAUUGGAGUAUCUCGGAAUGUUCAACUACUUGUGGUGGAGGAAAUAUCUAUUUUAAUAGAAGUUGUGACAGUCCACGCCCUUCGUAUGAUGGUCUAGGUUGUAUGGGUGUAAAUAUUUACACUGAAGACUGUUCUAUCAAUACAGUUUGUCCAGUAAAUGGUAAUUGGUCAAAUUGGUCUUCAUGGUCUUUGUGCAACCAACCAUGCGAAGGUGGAAUAAAAUCAAGAUUUCGUGUUUGCUUCGAACCUUCUCCAAAGUAUGGUGGGCAACUUUGUGAUGGAAACAGUACUGAAAUUGCUGAUUGUUCAUUGAACAGUUGCAAAAAAGCAAAACUGAAUUUAAGUAUUUUUUUUGUGGACGAACUUUAUCUUUUGAAUUCCGAACUUAAAGACAAAAUAAAUAUAGCGAUAUCAAACCUUUAUAAAGAUUUCAAAAGAACUGUUACUUCUAAUAUCGUGUUGCAUUCUAUAAGCUAUCAAGUUGCUUCAAAAAUACCUCAGAGCACUCAGAAGUUUUAGAGCACUGUGGAAGACCAUUUUGAUCAGCAGAAAGUUCACACCUUCUUUUUUACUAAUGUCGCUUAACUGACCAGAGAUGCAAUCAAACCAUGAAUCGCGUUGUUUUAAGCCAAAAUUCUAACCACUGUCUCGUAGCUGUUUUACAUCUUUUUCAGUUAUGUUAUUCAAAAAAAUUCAAGUUAAAGUCUCUACAACGUUUAUGCUUAAGCUGUGCGGUUGUUAAAGAGGUUUUUGAUACUAUUGAAUAUCCCCUUCCUUUUUUAUUGAAUACCCCCUUUCUUCGUAUUUUUAAGCUUUCAUUCUAAAGUUGAGUUUUCUAAAGAUAUUAACUAUAAUCAAUUUAGUUAAAACUAUGACCUGAAAGUUUUUUAAGUUUAAUUAAUGGUUCAAACUAAACAAACUCUCGGUUAAUAUAACUAAAAGCAAACACACUAUCAUUUAAAAAAUUCUCAAAGAAACCUGGCUCUUAAAGUUCUCGAUAUUAUAAUACAGAAA